rnacentral:rRNA from 1 species
CAGUAGCCGCGGGAAUACGAAGGGGGCUAGCGUUGCUCGGAAUGACUGGGCGUAAAGGGCGCGUAGGCGGCUUGUACAGUCAGAUGUGAAAUUCCUGGGCUUAACCUGGGGGCUGCAUUUGAUACGUGCGGGCUAGAAUGUGAAAGAGGGUCGUGGAAUUCCCAGUGUAGAGGUGAAAUUCGUAGAUAUUGGGAAGAACACCGGUGGCGAAGGCGGCGACCUGGUUCAUGAUUGACGCUGAGGCGCGAAAGCGUGGGGAGCAAACAGGAUUAGAUACCCCCGUAGUCCCUGUCUCUUAUAU